UACGGAGGAUCCGAGCGUUAUCCGGAUUUAUUGGGUUUAAAGGGUGCGUAGGCGGCCCGUUAAGUCAGGGGUGAAAGACGGUAGCUCAACUAUCGCAGUGCCCUUGAUACUGGCGGACUUGAAUGGACUAGAGGUAGGCGGAAUGAGACAAGUAGCGGUGAAAUGCAUAGAUAUGUCUCAGAACACCGAUUGCGAAGGCAGCUUACUAUGGUUCUAUUGACGCUCAGGCACGAAAGCGUGGGGAGCAAAAGGG
rnacentral:rRNA from 1 species